AGGACGAACGCUGGCGGCGUGCUUAACACAUGCAAGUCGAGCGGAAAGGCCCUUCGGGGUACUCGAGCGGCGAACGGGUGAGUAACACGUGAGUAAUCUGCCCCUAGCUCUGGGAUAGCUCCGGGAAACCGGGAUUAAUACUGGAUACGACCACCUUAGACAUCUUUUGUGGUGGAAAGAAUUUCGGCUAGGGAUGAGCUCGCGGCCUAUCAGCUUGUUGGUGGGGUAACGCCUACCAAGGCGACGACGGGUAGCCGGCCUGAGAGGGCGACCGGCCACACUGGGACUGAGACACGGCCCAGACUCCUACGGGAGGCAGCAGUGGGAAUAUUGCGCAAUGGGCGAAAGCCUGACGCAGCGACGCCGCGUGGGGGAUGAAGGCCUUCGGGUUGUAAACCCCUUUCAGCAGGGACGAAGCGAAAGUGACGGUACCUGCAGAAGAAGCGCCGGCUAACUACGUGCCAGCAGCCGC
rnacentral:rRNA from 1 species